GACGGAGGAUGCAAGUGUUAUCCGGAAUCACUGGGCGUAAAGCGUCUGUAGGUGGUCAAAUAAGUCAACUGUUAAAUCUUGAGGCUCAACCUCAAAAUCGCAGUCGAAACUAUUCGACUAGAGUAUAGUAGGGGUAAAGGGAAUUUCCAGUGGAGCGGUGAGAUGCGUAGAGAUUGGAAAGAACACCGAUGGCGAAGGCACUUUACUGGGCUAUUACUAACACUGAGAGACGAAAGCUAGGGUAGCAAAUGGGG
rnacentral:rRNA from 1 species